AAUAGAUACCCCAGGUAGUCCACGCCGUAAACGAUGAGUGCUAGGUGUUGGGGGCAUCACGUCCUCAGUGCCGAAGGAAACCCAAUAAGCACUCCGCCUGGGGAGUACGGCCGCAAGGCUGAAACUCAAAGGGGAUUGACGGGGGCCCGCACAAGCGGUGGAGCAUGUGGUUUAAUUCGAAGCAACGCGAAGAACCUUACCAAGGCUUGACAUCCCAUUGACCGCGCUAGAGAUAGUGCUUCCCUUCGGGGUAAUGGUGACAGGUGGUGCAUGGUUGUCGUCAGCUCGUGUCGUGAGAUGUUGGGUUCAGUCCCGCAACGAGCGCAACCCUUAUCCUUAGUUGCCAGCAGGUAAAGCUGGGCUCUCUAAGGAGACAGCCGGUGAAAGCCGGAGGAAGGUGGGGAUGACGUCAAAUCAUCAUGCCCCUUACGUCUUGGGCUACACACGUGCUACAAUGGAUGGUACAAAGGGCAGCAAAACCGCGAGGUCGAGCAAAUCCCAUAAAGCCAUUCUCAGUUCGGA
rnacentral:rRNA from 1 species